UGGGGAAUAUUGCACAAUGGGCGAAAGCCUGAUGCAGCCAUGCCGCGUGUGUGAAGAAGGCCUUAGGGUUGUAAAGCACUUUCAGCGGGGAGGAAAGGGAGCAGGUUAAUACCUUGCCCCUGUGACGUUACCCGCAGAAGAAGCACCGGCUAACUCCGUGCCAGCAGCCGCGGUAAUACGGAGGGUGCGAGCGUUAAUCGGAAUUACUGGGCGUAAAGCGUGCGUAGGCGGCUUGUUAAGUUGGAUGUGAAAGCCCCGGGCUCAACCUGGGAACUGCACCCAAAACUGGCAGGCUGGAGUGCGGAAGAGGAGUGUGGAAUUUCCUGUGUAGCGGUGAAAUGCGUAGAUAUGGGAAGGAACACCAGUGGCGAAGGCGACACUCUGGUCUGACACUGACGCUGAGGUACGAAAGCGUGGGGAGCAAACAGG
rnacentral:rRNA from 2 species